UCGCAUCGAAUCUAUCCAAAAUCAGAAUCACUGUAUCAAAAUAUGCUAAGGGAACGAAGCACAAGCAAAAAUAUGCAAUUUACAACAUAAAUCUCGAAAUUACCAAAACUCGACCCCCAGGCCCACGUCUCAGAUUCCAGUAAAAAUCAUAUCAAUGGAUUCUUUAUCACUCCCCGAGUUCAUACAUACCAAAAGCAUCAAAAUCCAACUAUAAAUGACCCCUCAAAUACCCAUUUCGAGGUCUCCAAUUUCAAGCCCUAGUUCUUCCAUUUUAGACUUAAUUUCCAUAAUUAAUUAGGUAGAUUUCACAUUAGAAUCGAGUUUUAAGUCCAUGAAUCUUACCUCCAAGUGUUUCCCCUUGAAUCCCUCUUCAAUUCUCUUCAAAAGCUCCAAAAACGCUCAACAAUGGUGAAAAUAAACCCCAAAAUUGCGAACAAGACGACUAUUUAAACAUUCUGCCCAGGCCUGAAAUCCUUCUUCGCGAACGCGGUUAACGCCUCGCGUUCGCGAAGCACAAAUCAACUUUGACCAAAAAUUACUCUUCGCGGUCAUGACCUUCCCAUCACGAACGUGAUGUUUUCCUCAGACCACUCUUCGCGAUCGCGUUACCCCUCUCGCGAAAGUGAUGAAUAAAAUACCUCAAGUCCACCUGACCAAAUUCCUCUACGCGAACGCGAUGACCAAACACCCAGCCCUUCGCGAACGCGAAGCCUUCCUCGUGAAUGCAAAGUCUUAGAUCCCAGCCUUCAUCAACUGACCCUUCGCGAAUGCAAGGACUCACUCGCGAACGCGAAGGUCAUUUCUCUGCAACACUGAUCUGCAAUUUUUUGCAAUUCCAAACAUCAUGAAAUGGUCCGAUUGACCACCCGAAACUCACAUGAGGCCCCCGGGACCUCAACCAAACAUACCAACAUAUCCCAUAACCUCAUUCAAACUUGUUCCAACCUUCGGAACGCUAAAAAAACAUCAAAACACCAAAUUCGCAUCGGAUUCAAGCCUAAGAAUUCCAACAUCUUCUAAAUUACGCUUUUGAUAAAAAAAAACCCAACCAAACCACGUCCGAAUGACCUGAAAUUUUUGCGCACACAUCCCAAAUGACACAAUGGAACUACUGCAACUCUCCGAGUUCCAUUCCGACCCCUAUAUCAAAAUCUCACCUAUCAACCAGAAAUCACUAGAAUACCAACUUCGCCAAUUCAAGCCUAAAUCUACUCUGGACCUUCAAAACACAUUCCGAUCACGCUCCUAAGUCCCAAAUUACCUCCCGAAGCUAUCUGAACCAUCGGAACUCACAUACGAGACCUCUAACACAUAAGUCAACAUCCAGUUAAUUUUUCCAACUUAAGCUUCCUCAAAAAGAGACUAAGUAUCUCAAACCUUACCAAAUCCUUUCCGAACUCAAGCCAACCAGCCCGAUCACAUAUAGAACUGAUAGACAAAGCAAUAAGAAGCAGAAAUAGGGAAAACUGAGCGGUAAUGCAUAAGACGACUGGUCGGGUCGUCACAUCCUCCCCAACUUAAACAAACGUUCGACCUCGAAUGAGUCAAGAAACAUACCUAAAGCCUCAAACAGGUGAGGAUAUCUGCUCUGCAUCUCCCACUCGGUGUCCCAGCUAGCCUCCGCCACAGGCCGACCUCUCCACUGCACUCUCACUGAAGCUAUAUCCUUUGACCUCAACUUUUGAACCUGACGACCCAAAAUAGCUACUGGCUCCGCAUCAUAGGUCAAAUCAUCAUCCAACUGAACCGCGUUGAAAUCCAGAACAUGAGACGGAUCCCUAAUAUACUUCCGGAGCAUAGAAACAUGAAAUACCGGAUGCACACUCGACAAGCUGGGUGGCAAAGUAAGCUCAUAAGACACCUCCCCAAUUCUCUGAAGCAUCUCAAAAAGUCCAAUGAACUGAGGACUCAAUUUACCUUUCUUUCCAAACCUCAUAACACCCUUCAUGGGUGAAACCUUCAAUAGAACCUUCUCACCAACCAUGUAGGACACAUCCCGAACCUUCCUGUCAUCAUAACUCUUUUGUCUCGAUUGCGCUAUACAAAGCCUCUCCUGAAUUACCUUCACCUUUUCUAAAGCAUCCUGCACCAAGUCUGUCCCCAAUAACCUAGCCUUACCCGACUCAAACCAACCAACUAGAGAUCUCACCACCUCCCAUACAAAGCCUCAUAUGGAGCCAUCUGAAUACUCGGCUGGUAGCUGUUGUUAUAAGCAAACUCUGCAAGCGGUAAGAACUGAUCCCAUGACCCUCCAAAAUCAAUGACACAAGUAUGCAACAUGUCCUCCAAUAUUUGAAUAGUGUGCUCGGACUACCCGUCCGUCUGAGGGUGAAAAGUUAUGCUCAACGCAACCUAAGUACCCAACUCUCGCUGCACAACCCUCCAAAACUGUGAUAUAAACUGAGUGCCCCUAUCUGAAAUGAUGGAAACUAGGACACCAUGCAAACGAACAAUCUCCUGGAUAUAUAUAUCUGCCAACCGCUCUGAAGAAUAGGUAAUACAUAUAGGAAUGAAGUGAGCGGACUUGGUCAGUCGAUCCACAAUAACCCAAAUAGCAUCGAACUUCUUCAAAGUUCGUGGAAGUCCAACUACAAAGUCCANNNNNNNNNNNNNNNNNNNNNNNNNGUUCAUAUUUCACCUGCUGACAAUUGAGACACCGAGCUACAAAUCCCACAAUGUCUUUCUUCAUUCUCCUCUACCAAUAAUGCUACCUCAAAUCCUGAUACAUCUUCACGGCACCUGGAUGAAUGGAAUAUCGUGAGCUAUGGGCCUCCUCCAGAGUCACUCCCAAAGCCCAUCCACAUUGGGCAUACAUAUCCGGCCUUGCAUCCUCAAUACCCCAUCAUCACCGAUGGUCACAUCUCUGGCAUCAUCAUGUUGAACUCUGUCCUUAAGGACAAGCAAAUGCGGAUCAUCAUACUAGAGCUCUCUCAUGCGAUCAUAUAAGGAAGACCGAGAAACCAUACAAGCCAAUACCCGACUGGGCUCCGAAAUAUCUAACCUCACGAACAGAUUGACCAAGGCAUGAACAUCAACUGCAAGAGGUCUCUCCCCAACUGGAAUAUAUGACAAACUCCCCAUACUCAUCGCCUUUCAGUUCAAAGCAUCGGCCACCACAUUAGCCUUCCCCGGAUGGUACAAUAUAGUAAUAUCAUAAUCCUUAAGCAACUCCAACCACCUUUGCUGCCUCAAAUUAAGAUCCUUCUGCUUGAACAAGUGCUGGAGGCUACGAUGAUCAUUAAACACCUCACAAGACACACCAUACAGAUAAUGCCUCCAAAUCUUCAACGCAUGCACUAUGGCAGCCAACUCCAAAUAAUGAACGGGGUAGUUCUUCUCAUGGGGCUUCAACUGACGAGAAGCAUAAGCAAUAACUCUACCCUCCUACAUCAAUACACACCCAAUACAAACUCUCGAAGCAUCACAAUACACGGUAUAUGAACCUGAGGCUAAUGGCAAAACUAACACUGGAGCUGUGGUCAAGGCUAACUUGAGCUUCUGAAAGUUCUCCUCACACUCAUCCGACCAUACAAAUGAAGCACCCUUCUGAGUCAACUUGGUCAAGGGCGAUGCGAUAGAUGAGAAUCCCUGAACAAACCGGCAAUAAUAACCCGCCAAACCAAGAAAGCUAUGAAUUUCUAUGGUUGAGGAUGGUCUGGGCCAACUCUGAACCGCCUCUAUCUUCUUCAGAUCGACUUGAAUACCCUCGCUGGACACCACGUGCCCUAAGAAAGCCAAUGAACUAAGCCAAAACUCACACUUGGAGAAUUUUACAUAAACCUUCUCCUCCCUCAAUCUCUACAACACAACUCUCAAAUGCUCCAUAUGCUCCUUUUAACUACGCGAAUACACCAGAAUAUCAUCAAUGAAGACUAUGACAAAUGAGUCGAGAUAAGGCCGGAAUACGCUGUUCAUCAGAUGCAUGAACGUUGCUGGGGUAUUGGUCAGCCCAAAAGACAUCACCAAGAACUCAUAAUAACCAUAUCGGGUCCUGAAAGCUAUCUUAAGAAUAUUCAAGUCCCUGAUUUUUAACUGGUGAUAACCUGAAUGGAGAUCAAUCUUGGAGAACACUCUCGCUCCUUGAAGCUGGUCGAAUAAAUCAUCAAUGCGAGGCAAAGGAUACUUGUUCUUAACUGUUACUUUGUUCAAUUGCUUAUAAUCAAUGCACAUCAUCAUAAUGCCAUCCUUCUUCACAAAUAGAACCGGCACACCCCAAGGUGACACACUAGGCCGAAUGAACCCCUUAUCGAGGAGUUCUUGAAGGUGCUCCUUUAACUCUUUCAACUCCGCUGGUACCAUACGAUACGGCGGAAUAGAAAUGGGCUGAGUGCCUGGCACCAGGUCAGUACCAAAAUCAACAUCCCUUUCUGGUGGCAUGCCCGACAGGUCUGCAGGAAACACAUCAAAAAAAUCCCUCACAACUGGAACAGAAUCAAUACUGGGAUUCUCUACACCGACAUUCCUCACAAAGGCUAGAUACGAAAGACAACCCUUCCCAACCAUACGAUGGGAUUUCAAGAAUGAGAUUACUCUAUUGGGAACAUAAUCAAUCAAACCUUGCCACUCAAUCCGUGGUACACUCGGCAUAGCCAAUGUGACUGUCUUAGCAUGAUAGUCCAAAAUAGCACGAUACGGAUAUAGUCAAUCCAUGCCCAAAAUAAUAUCAAAAUCCACCAUACAUAAUAAUAAUAGAUCCACACGGGUCUCCAGACCCUCAAUAGUCACCACAAACGAUCGAUACACACAGUCUACAACAAUAGUAUCGCCCACUAGGGUAGAUACAUGAACAGUUGAAACAAUACACUCACGGGGCGUACCCAAAUAACGAGCAAAGUAUGAUGACACAUAAGAAAAGGUGUAACCAGGAUCAAAUAAUACAGAGUCAUCUCCGUGGCAGACUGGAACAAUACUUGUAAUGACAACAUCGGAAACAAUAACAUUGGGUCUAGCUGGAAGUGUAUAGAAAUGGGCCUAACCGCCACCCGAUUGACCUCCCCCUCUAGGGCGACCCCUAGCUAACUGACCUCCACCCCUAGCAGGCUGGGCAGGUGGUGGUGAAGCAACUGGCGCCGAUGCCGAUGACUGACCCCUCUAUUGAGAUGAACCCGUAAGACGAUGAGGGCACUGCCUCCAUAUAUGGCCCAUCUCUCCACACUUGUAACAACUCCCAGGUGCUGGAGAAGGGGACUAAAGGGAACCCCUCGCACCGGAGUGACUAGCAGACGCACCUGACAUGGAAGAGCCCUGAACUGAUGGAGCACGGGACAAACUCUGAGUUGGAAGGGCACUAAGUGAUUACUGGCCCUGAUGAGAACGGUGAGAACCAUGACCCGAUGACGCCCCACAAUAACCUAGGCGAGCUGGUUGAGCAUGCCUAAAUGGACAACCUCUGUCAUGCUGAAACUGGCCUCUCGAAGGAGCACCACUAUAGCUACCAGAUCCUUGAGGCCUCUUGGCCUCCCUCUCCUCUCGCUCUUGGCGACGAACAGACUCAAUAUUCCGAUCAAUGUCUACAACCUCCUCAAAGGUAGCACCAAUCACCCUCUCCCUGGUCAUGAGAAUACGAAGCUGAUAAGUGAGGCCAUCGACAAACCUCCUAAUCCUCUCUCUAUCUAUCGGAACCAACCAAAUAGCAUGACGAGCUAACUCGGAGAACCUCAUCUCAUAUUGCGUCACAGUUAUCUCUCCUUGACGCAACCACUCAAACUCCCUAUACAGCUCCUCUCUACAAGACUGCGGCACAUAAUUCUCCAGAAAGAGAAUGGAGAACUGCUACCAGGUAAGAGGUGGUGCACCAACAGGCCUACGCCUCUCAAAAGUCUCCCACCAAGUGAAGGCGGCUCCAGAAAAUUGAUAGGUAGUGAAAGCGACCUUGCUGGUCUCUAGAAUACCCGUUGUACGAAGCAUCCUCUGACACUUAUCCAAGAAACCCUGGGCAUCAUCGCCCUCUACACCAUUGAAGGUCGGAGGCUGAAGUCUACCAAACCUCUCCAACCUACGAUGCUCGUCCUUUGGCAUGGCAGGAACUACAUAGUCUUGAGAAGCUGCAACCGGUUGGGCUAGAUGUGCCCCCGGUAUCUGAAGUCCCUUCACGUCCUACUCAGGUGUGCGAGCAGCGGGAGUUUAAUUGCCUCCCCCAGCCUGAGAAGUAGCUGCGGUUGUAGUGGAUGAAACCGCCUCAGCUAGGCCAGUGCAAACUAGUAAGAUCUGAGCCAAGGCCUCCUGAAGACCCGGAAUCACAAUGGGCACAACUGGUGCCUGAGCUUGUGCAUCCACAACUAGGACCUGAUCCUAAACUAUGGUGGCUGGUGGAUUUGUAGGUGUUUCCCUAGCUGCUGUGCGGGCCACACCUUUGCCCCUACCGUGACCACGAUCUCAUCCUCAGCCUCUAGUAGCCACAGUUGGUGGUACUGGUGGUCUUCCAUCCUGACCGGUAGCGUGUGUCCUCACCAUCUGUGAGAGAAUAGAAUAGCAGAAGUUUAGCACUCAAAUCAACAAAUUCGCACGACAAGAAUUUCAAGAAUGUGAAGCUUUUCCUAAAGGUUCUGCAGCCUCUCGAGGAUAAAUACAGACAUUUCUGUACCGAUCCACGAGACUCUACUAAACCUGCUCAUGACUCGUGAGACCUAUGUAAUCUAGGCUCUAAUACCAACUUGUCACGACCCUAAACCCGAACCCGGUCAUGAUGGCGCCUCUCGUGAAGACAAGGCCAGUUGAUACUUCUCAUUCCAGUUAUUAAGUAAUAAACAAUAAGAAUUUAAAUCUAAAACAUGAUAAUUAAUCCAAAAGUGAAUAGCUAACACUACAGUUGCGAAAGAAAAACCCAACACAGCUCGAUACCGGGGUGUCACUAGUCAUGAGCAUCUAAAAAUCUGGAAUAAGACAAGAAAGUCUACAAAGUUCAAUACAAAUCUAAAACAAAGAGAAGUAAGAUAAGGGAAGAAACUCUGGGCUGCGAACGCCGGCAGCUACCUAGAGAAUCUUCGGAUUCGCCUGAGCUGGAAAGAUCAAUACUCGGUAGCAGAAUCAACAAUGCAUGAAUCUGCACACGGUGUGCAGGGAGAAAAGUGAAUAUUCCAACUCAGUGAGUAUUAAUCAUAAAUAAAUACUGAAAGCAUAAAAUCACGUAAGUCACAUUAUAGGCAAUAAUGAAGCAGUAAAAAUAGGUAAGAACAGUGAUUCAGUAAAGAUAUGUAAAGUUUAGUUUAAACUUCAAGAGAUGCCUAUUCAACAAUUAAAUAGGUAAAUGACAGACAAAUAAGAAAGAUAAGCACAUAAAGGAUUGCCCCUCGGGCACAAUGUCAACCAUACCAACCCCUCGGGCUAUAUCUCACAUCACAAUGGGUACCCGUGCUCAAUGGGGGUGUGUAGACUCCUAGAGGGGCCCCUUACGGCCCAAUCGCGAUAUCCAGCCAUCUCGUGGCAUCAUCACUAGGCCCUUGGCCUUAAAUCAACAAGCCAUCUCAUGGCGUAUAAAUCACAGGCCCUCAGCCUCAUAAUCAUAGUCAAUGUUUCCUCACAACAUAGUCCCUCGGCCUUACUCAGUCAAAAUCCUCACAAGCCACUCAGGCAAUAGUAAAACAUGAUUCUCAGCCCAAAAUAUCAUUUAAAAGAUCAUUUAAGUGUUAAAACAGAGUAAACAUGGUUGAGUUAUGAAAACAGUGGAAUAUAGCAUGACUGAGAUCACGUAUAAAGUCAAAACAGUGAGGAAAUAUCAAUAAAAAUCUAAUAAGGGUUCAAAUAGUUGGCACGAAGCCCAAAUAUGGUAUUCAGCCAAAAACAUGAUGAUAGCAAAUAGUUUCAGUCAAUUACGCGGUAAAAUAGUCAUUCGGGACGGACGAAGUCACAAUACCCAACAGUGCAUGACCCCAUGCUCGUCAUCUAGUGUGUGUGUGUCACCUCAAUAUAGCACAACAUUGUACAAAUUCGGGUUUCAUACCCUCAGGACAUCAUUUACAAUUAUUACUCACCUCAAACCGGUGCAAACUCUAGCCCACGAUGCCUUUGCCCCUCGAGUUGGCCUCCACUUGCGUCGAAUCUAUCCAAAAUCAGAAUCACGACGUCAAAAGAUGCUAAGGGAACGAAGCCCAAGCGAAAAUAUGCAAUUUACAACAUAAAUCCCAAAAUUACCAAAACCCAACCCCUGGGCCCACAUCUCAAAUUUUGGUAAAAAUCACAUCAAUGGAUUCCUUAUCACUCCCCGAGUUCAUACAUACCAAAAAUAUAAAAAUCCAACCAAAAAUGACCCCUCAAAUACCCAUUUCUAGGUCUCCAAUUUCAAGCCCUAGUUCUUCCAUUUUAGGCUUAAUUUCCAUGAUUAAUUAGGUAGAUUUCUCAUUAUAAUCGAGUUUUAAGUCCAUGAAUCUUACCUCCAAGUGUUUUCCCUUGAAUCCCUCUUCAAUCCUCUUCAAAAAGCUCAAAACAUGCUCAACAAUGGUGAAAAUAAACCCCAAAAUCUCGGACAAGACGACUAUUUAAACAUCUGCCCAGGCCUGAAAUCCUUCUUCACGAACGCGGUCAAUGCCUCGCAUUCGCGAAGCACAAAUCAACUUUGACGAAAAAUUACUCUUCGCGAUCGCGACCUUCCCAUCGCGAACGCGAUGUUUUCCUCAGACCACUCUUCGCGAUCGUGUUACCCCUCUCGCGAACGCGAUGAAUAAAAUACCUCAUGUCCAGCUGACCAAAUUCCUCUAUGCGAACACGGUCUACUUCACGCGAACGCGAUGACCAAACACCCAGCCCUUCGUGAACGCGGAGCCUUCCUCGCGAACACGAAGUCUUAAAUCCCAGCCUUCAUGAACUGACCCUUAGCGAACGUGAGGACCCACUCGCGAACGCGAAGGUCAUUUCUCUGCAACACUGAUCUGCAAUUUUUUGCAAUUCCAAACAUCAUGAAAUGGUCCGAUGGACCACCCGAAACUCACCCGAGGCCCCCGGGACCUCAACGAAACAUACCAACAUAUCUCAUAACCUCAUUCAAACUUGUUCCAACCUUCAGAACGCUUAAAAAAACAUAAAAACACCAAAUUCGCAUCGGAUUCAAGCCUAAAAAUUCCAACAUCUUCAAAAUUACGCUUUUGAUAAAAAAAACUAACCAAACCACGUCCAAAUAACCUAAAAUUUUGCACACACAUCCCAAAUGACACAACGGAACUACCACAACUCUCAGAAUUUCAUUCCGGCCCCUAUAUAAAAAUCUCACCUAUCAACCAAAAAUCACUAGAAUACUAGCUUCGUCAAUUCAAGCCUAAAUCUACUUCGGACCUCCAAAACACAUUCCGAUCACGCUCCUAAGCCCCAAAUCACCUCCCGAAGAUAUCUGAACCAUUGGAACUCACGCUCUCUAACACAUAAGUUAAUAUCCGGUUGACUUUCCAACUUAAGCUUNNNNNNNNNNNNNNNNNNNNNNNNNNNNNNNNNNNNNNNNNNNNNNNNNNNNNNNNNNNNNNNNNNNNNNNNNNNNNNNNNNNNNNNNNNNNNNNNNNNNNNNNNNNNNNNNNNNNNNNNNNNNNNNNNNNNNNNNNNNNNNNNNNNNNNNNNNNNNNNNNNNNNNNNNNNNNNNNNNNNNNNNNNNNNNNNNNNNNNNNNNNNNNNNNNNNNNNNNNNNNNNNNNNNNNNNNNNNNNNNNNNNNNNNNNNNNNNNNNNNNNNNNNNNNNNNNNNNNNNNNNNNNNNNNNNNNNNNNNNNNNNNNNNNNNNNNNNNNNNNNNNNNNNNNNNNNNNNNNNNNNNNNNNNNNNNNNNNNNNNNNNNNNNNNNNNNNNNNNNNNNNNNNNNNNNNNNNNNNNNNNNNNNNNNNNNNNNNNNNNNNNNNNNNNNNNNNNNNNNNNNNNNNNNNNNNNNNNNNNNNNNNNNNNNNNNNNNNNNNNNNNNNNNNUCAAACCUUACCAAAUCCUUUCCGAACUCGAGCCAACCAGCCCAAUCGCAUAUAGAACUGAUAGAUAAAGAAAUAAGAAGCAGAAAUCGGGAAAACAGAGCGGUAACUCAUGAUACGACUAGUUGGGUCGUCACAUUUGCAUUCCUUUCCAAGCUUCUUCUGCAAUUUCUCUUCUCCUUUCAUAUUUCUACUAUUAACAAAAAAUGACUUAUAAUUCUUCGAACACCUCUCCAUCAUCGGAUCCCAAGAAAACUAUCAUCAUAGACGAAUUUCUUCCUUCUAUAACCCCGGUUAGAAGUAGAAGAGGUGGUAGACUUUGUAGUCUAGGUUUCAUAUCAAGUCGUAGCGCCACUCUUUCCCAUGAGAAUUCUUCCAAAUCUUUUUCUUCUAAAGUUAAAGUUGCAUCAACUCUUAAAUAUUCUUCCAAAGUUAGAGACCAAAACGAACCAUUGCCUGAGCGUGUUGUUUUUGAGAUUGUCCCUCAUGAAUUUUCUUUCACAUCGGACUGUGAAGCAUGGAGGAAAGAAGUUUCUUCCAUAGCAACACUUAAACCUACCGAUCAUUACCCUUCUUUAAUCACUUCUGGACUUCUUUCUUUAGUACGUCGUGAAUGCCAUUGGAAACCCAACUUCCCUAUUAUGUACUGUAGCAUUCAUGGCGGGAGAUAGAAUUCUGCUUAGAGUUUUACCCAUGAAGGAUGUGAUAAGGUUCGAAAAGAAGGGCAAGUUGAACCCUAGGUAUAUUGGUCCUUUCGAGAUCCUUGAGAGAGUUGGUGAGGUGGCCUACAGACUUGUAUUGCCGCCCAGCUUAUCGACAAUUCACCUGGUGUUCCGUGUUUCUAUGCUCUAGAAGUUUUAUGGUCAUCUAUCACAUGUUUUAGAUUUUAGAUUAGUCCAUUGGACAUGAAUUUGACUUAUGUUGAGGAGUCAGUAGCUAUCUUAGACUGGAAAAUCCAGAAGUUGAGGUCAAAGAAUAUUGCUUCACUGAAGGGUCAGUAGAGGGCUUGACCAGUCGAGGAGGCAGCCUGGGAGACCGAGCACAACAUGCAGAGUCAUUAUCCUCAUCUUUUCAUCACUUCAGGUAUGUCUCUAUGCACGUUCGAGGACGAACAUUUGUUUUAAGAGGGGGAGAAUAUAACAAUCUGACUGGUCAUUUUGUGUAUUUAAGCCUUGUUUUUCCUUUUGAUACUCCACACAUGUGAUUUUUUUAUUUUAUGACUUGUGGGAAUGGUUAGUUUUGUUCCAGAAAGGUUUUGGGUUGAUUUGGACCAUUUUGUUCUUGGUUUAGAAACUUAAGUUGGAAAUAUUGACCAAUGUUUGACUUUUGUGAAAACGACCCCAGAAUGAUUUUUUGAUGGCUCUGAUAGAUAGGUUUGUAUCGUGAUUUUGGACUUGGUUUUAUGCUCGAAAUUGAAAUCGAAGGUCCCUAGGUUGAUUUGUCAUGUUUUGCCGAAGUGGCAAUUUGAGGUUUAGAAGUUUCCCUAAGUUUGACCAUAAGUUGACUUUAUGGCUAUUGGGUUCGGAAUUUUGUUUUAGGACUUGGAAUAUGUUUGUUUUUCUAUUUGAAACUUGUCUGCAAAAUUUGGUGUAAUUUGAAGUUGGUUUGAUAGGAUUCAGACGCUUGGUUGUAAUUCUAAAGGUUCUUGAGUUUUCUUUUGAAUUUCACACGUUUUGAUGUUCGAUUUGUGGUUCUAGAUGUUAUUUUGGUAUUUUGAUCGUGUGAGUGAAUUCUUAUGAUAAUUUUAGACUUAUGUGGAUAUUUGAUUUGGAACCCUGAGGGCUCGGGUAAAUUUCGGACGUGUUUAGGAAUGGCUUGGACUUAAUUCCAUGUUGAUGUUGUGUCGAUGCUCCAAUUGUCGCAAUUGCGAGCACCAGCAUCGCAAUUGUGAUCGUAUCAGGGGGUCUCAUUUGUCGCAUUUACGAUACCUUGAUCGCAAUUGAAGAGAGUCUAGGACAGGGCAGUUUGGCAUUUUCAACUAAAAGGUCGCAUUUGCGAUGGGAGAAGACUUCGCAAAUGCGAAGUCAAUGUCGCAUUUGCGACUUCCCUUUAGGCUGUUAGGCUCCGUAAUUGCAAGUCAUUCUUUGCAAUUACGAGGGUUCGCAAUUGCGACAUCUACACUUGAACAAAAGGGUUGGAAAGACGGGAUUUGAUCUCAUUUCUCUCAUUUUAAAACCCUAGACUCGAUGAGAGGCAAUUUAGAGAGGGGAUUUUCAUACACAAUCAUUGGGUAAGUGAUUUUGAUCAAUUUUCAAUUAUAUUACAUGAUUAUAUAUGAGAUUUAACAUCAAAUUCAUGAGAAUCUAAGAGAAAUUUUGUCUAUGUUCUAAACAAUAAAAAUUUGAGAUUAGAGAGUUGAAUUGGAUACAGAUUUGAAAACGAAACACAUAUAUAGACUCGUGCGGUUGUGGAUAGCCGGGAUCUACCCUUGGAUUCGGGUUUUGACUGGGCAAAUCUUGAGGUUGACUUUUGUUGACUUUUGGAGAAUUGUGUAAAAAUCAUAGCUUUAUUAAUUAUAAUUGGUUUUUCUUGCAUUGUUUGAUUAUAUUAAGUCAUUUUUAUUAUAUCUGAAUCGUGUUGAGGCGAACUUUAAGGAAAAAACUAUUUUGAGUGUUGAUUUAGCCUAGUUGAGGUAAGUAUUUUGCCUAACUUUGUGUGGGGGAACUACCCAUUAGGAUUGGAUUUGAUUGUGCUAUUUGAGUUAUGUAGAAGAUGUGUACACGAGAUGACGAGUGCGUACACGGUCAUAUAUGUGAUAUUUGAUUGGUUUAGACUCUUAGAUUACUUAUAAUCACUUAAUUGAAGUUAUUAUUAUUUGUUCUAUCAUUCGUUGUCUAGUUUAGUCUUACAUACCUUAAUUGAAGUUGUUAUUACAUGUUCUAGUUUUCAUUGUCAAGAUUACUCUUAUAUGCAUUUAGUUGUAGUUGUUGUUACAUUCUAUUAUGUCUAUUGUUGAGUUAUUUUCAUGCAUUUAGUCGUAGUUGCUAUUUCUCUUUCAUUGUUAAGCUUAUAUUAUGUACUCGAAUUGGAAGUUGUCAUUUCAUGAAAAAUACCUUCGUUGCUGAGUAAUUGAAGUUGUAGUUGUGGAAAGUUAUUAACACGGUUGUGGUUGGAAUUGUUGGUUAUUGGAAUACAUUUUCUUGUCGAAUUAUUGUUAUUGAGAUUUUUGUACACAUUGUAGUUGAGUUGUGGGCUAUAUGCCGUGGUAACGUUAUUAUUGUUGCUUUUGGCAAAUAUUGUGGCAUAUAGGUACGUGUGGUGCGAGUAAAUUUUUGUGUUAUGAUAUUGAUACACAUGCAGUAGUAUAAGGAUGGGUAUUGAAAUGCAUGCGAUGAGAUAAGGUGGUAUUUAUACAUGUGUUUCUAGUAAGGGAAUUACUUGAAGCUACGCGGUGAGAUAAAGGGGCUAAAACGCGUGUAGUUAUUUUGGAAAAAAUAUUUAUAAAAUACAUGCAAGGUUCACGCAGUGAUAUUAGGAAGAUUGUGAUUGUGAUUUGUGAAAUGGGAACAUGAGGUAUGGUACAUCGGUGUGAUUUUUAUUGUACAUUCUAAAUUGGAAAGGUUCGUUGAUUUCAACGGUUAUUUCUUUAUUUUCCUUAAAUUUAUUUCACCAGUAUUUUAACUGUAUUUGAUAAUUGUUUCUUUUAUCAUAUAUUCCCUCUUUGUUGUCCUUUAUUGCCUUAAAUUCUGUUAUUAGCUGGGUUUGAUAAAUUGCUUAUUUAUCAUUCAUUUUCUUUCUUUCUUCAGUGUUAGAUUAUUAAUAUUUUGCACAGGUUUCUAUGUCUACUAAGUAUCUUGACAUGGCCUUAUCACUACUCGACCGAGGUUAGGCUUGAUAUUUACUGGGUACCGUUGUGGUGUACUCAUCCUAUGAUUUUGUAUAUUUUUGUGCAGAUCCAGGUACUUUUGCUCGUGCCAGACGCCAGUCAGUUGACCCAAUUACUUCGGAGACUUCAGGGUAUACCUGCUUGAUGUUCGCAGGCCUCGGAGUCACCUUCUUUUAUUUUCUUACUAUUGUUUAUCUCCAUUUCAAACAGAGUUGUAUUUAGAGAUUACUAGUGCAUUUUCUGUAGAGCUUAUGACUCAGUUCCACCGAUUGUGGGAAUUAUUUGAUUGUUGGAUCAUUUGGAUUUUAUUAUGAUAGUUUACCAGUUUAAUUUGAUAUCUGAAUCGUUAUUCCUGUUAAUUCUUCAAGUGUAUUAGGCUUACCUAGUCUUAGAGACUUGGUGUCAUCAUGACAUCCUAAAGUGAAAAUUUGGGAUUGUGACAAGACCAGAUUUUUUAUAUAGGCUGCUUAGAAGCGGAAGAAGAAGAAGAAGAAAAGUAUCAUGGGCAAUAAUUCAGAGAAUGUCUUUGUACGUCAUCCGAAAAAAAGAUCUGACAAGGAAUGGAAAGAGUUUUUUGAGGAUAGGGAGAGUAAUCCCCAACCUACUCAGUUCUUCUCUAAGCUAGAUGACAUUUCUAUUAUCGCGGUGGAUGAUAGAGAAAAUUAUCUAAUUUGAGAAAGAUAUAAGUACUGCAAAUACAUUUGUCUAGAUAUUAUUUGGUAUUGUAGAAGAUUUUUCCGAGUAUUAAUUUUUUCUUGGUACUUUUUGAAUUUAUCUGAGUACUCAUGUUUAGUUUUAUAGACUUGAAUAAAUAGAUAUAUAUUUGGAUGCAUAAUUUUCUUUGUCACGUCUUAAAGUUGUACCUUGGGGUGUUUAAAUUUUAAAUAAAAGAUGGCUCUUUAUAUUUUUUAAACGUUAUGCAGAGGACGUUUCCUCUUCACUCAACCGUAAAUAGAAUUAAUUGAUCCGAAUAAACUUUUAGUCUAAGGGAGUUUUAACCCCAAUAGGAAUUGAGGGAGUACUAAUCCUAGUAAGACAUUAAAUCUAAGGGAAGAUUAAUCCCGGAUGUCACACCUCCUUUUUUACCUACACCCCGAGAGGGAGUGUAUAAGGGAGAUUUUCCAAUUAAAGUGACAAUCGAAACGGGAUUAUUUAUUUAUUAAAUUCAGAGUCGCCACUUGGGAGAUUUAUGGUGUCCCAAGUCACCGGUUUAAAAUCCCGAAUCGAGGAAAGGAUUGACUCUGUAUUACAGUCCGCAAACCAGAAAUCUGGGUAAGGAAUUUUGUUAACCCGGGAGAAGGUGUUAGGCAUUCCCGAGUUCCGUAGUUCUAGCACGGUUGUUCAACUGUUAUACUCGGAUUAAUUAUCUGAUUUUAAAACACUUUUAAACCUAUGUGCAUUUUACUUUAACCGCUUUUAAUCAUUUUAAGAAAGAUUUCAACGUCAUUUAAAACACGUCUUUGGACCACUCCACAUGAAAUGCACCCGCAGUCCGAGACACAUUUUAUUUAACAUUGUUAAGAUUUGAAUUUGGGUCACAUGAAAUGCACACCCGAGUUUAGGAAGGUAAUUUUAAAUUAUGCGCCUAAAGCAACUACGCAUUUUUCACAUUGCGAGGGCCAUAGAAAAUUCGCUAAAUGGCACGCCUCAAAUUCUAAGGAUUAAAAAUAUUCAAGGACAAACUAAAUGAGGGCCGUGCAUUUUGAAAUUUUAUUUGGCACAGCGCACCUCAAUUCCAAUUUUAAAGGAAACUCAAACUAAGCUUUGAGGGUCAUAAACCAUGUCUUUCCUAAUAUGGCACACCCCAAAAUGACACCUCCUUUAACUUGUCCAAUGCUUCUGGUGAUUCAACGAAAAUUCAAAAUUCUGAAAAUCCCAACGACAAGCAACUGUGCAGGAAACAAAAGCACCACAAUCAAGUGCAUGUGCUGCGAUGCACCUAGCGUACUGAAUCGCUUCAACGACUCUUUCCCACUAUGUAAAAUGCCAGCAAAGUUGAACUGGCCAUGGCCCAUAUUACCUGAUUCCACAUGCCUUCUAACAACAAUACCAACAUUAACCCCACUUGGUGCAACCAAUGGUCACCAAAUCUAUAAUCAAGUUGCCUUUCUAAGAAGGAAAAAAUAAUAAACUCAAUAUAUAACCUCAAACACACAAUAAGAGCCUAACUAGAAAGAAGCUGAGUAUUUAAUUUCCGUUCAUGAUUCAAAAUCCUAUAAUAAGGUUACUGAAAUUUAGAAAUAGCACUAUGACAUUUUUUAACUUCUAUAACAUUCUAUAAAUGGUUCUUACACUAAAACCUCAACUAAACAAAACUUAAUAAACUCAUAUGCAAAUCUGAAACUAUCAGGUAGAGGAUUCAACAAAGAUUUCUACAGCAACACAUUAAUAUCUCAAACCAGGGAAGAUCAAAUAUAUAAUAACAAGACAUACAAACUUAUCACCAUAGACAUGAAUAAAUGAAGAAGAAGAACAAAAAAAACAGACCUCACGAGAAGUUUUUUUUUUUAAUUAAGUUGCUGCUCGGAUGUGUCACAAAGAAUGCCAAAUGACGAAACCUGAUAAAAACAACUGCCAAAUGACAGUAACUGCGACCUCCGAACUCGAACGGCGAUGAACAACAGUCACGAAUAUGGAACGACGCUAUUUUCCAUCCGUUUUCUAACACCCUCCCUUCCUAUCUACGCGAGUGUGUACCCUUCCCCCCCCUAUUUUCUGUAUAUGUGUGCCUCUUAGCUUUUGGGAAUUGGAUAUUAAGGAUUUUUUUUUUUUUUUGCUAAUCUCUUGCAAACUUUAAUGAGAAUGGGAAGAGGGAUCGACCAUGGCUUCACUGAAGAAAGCCCUCUUUGUUGGAUCUCUAUUGUUGAUN
rnacentral:lncRNA from 1 species